rnacentral:rRNA from 1 species
AUACGAGGGGUGCAAGCGUUAUUCGGAAUCAUUGGGCGUAGAGGGUGUGUAGGCGGCGUACUAAGUCAACUGUUAAAUCCCCCAGCCUAACUGGGGACCAGCGGUAGAUACUGGUAUGCUAGAGGAUGGAAGAGAGAAGCGGAAUUCUUGGAGUAGCGGUAAAAUGCGUAGAUCUCAAGAGGAACACCGAUGGCGAAGGCAGUUUCUUGGUCCAUUUCUGACGCUAAGGCACGAAAGCGUGGGGAGCAAACAGGAUUAGAUACCCUAGUAGUCC